UGGCACCCCAGAUGUUGUGAACUACAUCUCCCUUGAUGCUGUGCCAGCAUUAUGGCUGUAAAAGUGUUAUGGGAGAUGAAGUCCAAAACAUCUGGGGUGCCG